GGAGUCGGGACUGCGGCGCAGCCGCCCCCAGAGCGCCCUCUAAUGAAGGUGCGGCCGCCACCGACUCCCGCCUCCCGCCUCCCGGACCCCACUAGCCUGCGGGUCACGGCCCGCGGGGCUAAUUGGCCGUUAGGCCCGGACCGAACCUGAGGCAGAACCGAGGAAAAAGGCCUUUCAGAAUGGUUGAGAAAUCAGCACCCGCCCUUACACCGCGUGAGGCGUGCUCGGGUUCGUGCGGAGAACCCCCUUUGAGUCCAAACGGUCGCUUUUCAUUGUUAGGGCUCCUCUGCCCAAACGCGAAAGGAGGAGAGCCCUCGAAGACUGACAUGUCUUCCUUCCAUUCCUAAUGAAACCCAGGUGCACUCACGGCUUUUCUGCCGCACCUCACCGGAGUGUUAAGAUCCAGAGUUUUAAAUCAAUUCAAGCGCCAGAGCUCUUGUUACUGGAAAGCACCUGGAACGUAACCGGCAAUUGUGCUUUCCCGUCCACCACCACCCCUCCACUGGGAAUCCAGUUCUGCAUGGAGAGACCGAAAUCAGGGAAGUGAAGGAUCACCAUUUUGCACUGAGAGUGCAAGGUGCAUUGAAAUUAAGACAGAAGUAGCACUUCCUGAGUGGUGAAUCCAGGGGCACCUGGUGUGAGCUGAGCUGGAAAGACAGGAUUCCCAGAGGGUGGAGAAGGAGAUGGAGAAGAUUGACUCAUGUCCUGAUGGAAAUUUUGAUAAAGGAAUGGCAAAGAGACUAAAAAAUGCAGGUUAAAAUUCAUUUUCUACAUUAUCACAGUGACGCAAACAUUCAUGAUUUGGACACUUGGCACCAGGGUGGGAAUUCUGUCGGCUGUUAAACUAUUGGUUAUAAACCCCUUCUUAGUAUAGGGUUUGUCUCUUCCCUGAAGAGCACCUGCAGCUAUAUUCAAGGAUACCUGGAAUGUAAAUAUGAAG